rnacentral:rRNA from 1 species
UACGUGGGGUGCAAGCGUUGUUCGGAAUUACUGGGCGUAAAGCGUGAGGAGGCGGCUCGCUAAGUCUGAUGUAAAAGCCCUGGGCUUAACCCAGGAACUGCAUCGGAAACUAGCGGGCUAGAGUUCGGGAGAGGGUCGUGGAAUUCUUGGUGUAGAGGUGAAAUUCGUAGAUAUCGAGAGGAACACCUGCGGCGAAGGCGGGUUGCUGGGCUGACACUGACGCUGAGGCGCGAAAGCUAGGGGAGCGAACGGG